UACAGAGGGUGCAAGCGUUGUUCGGAUUUACUGGGCGUAAAGCGUACGCAGACGGCUUGGUAGGUCGGAUGUGAAAGCCCCGGGCUCAACCCGGGAAAUGCAUCCGAAACCACCUCGCUCGAGUGUGGGAGAGGGAAGUGGAAUUCCUGGUGUAGAGGUGAAAUUCGUAGAUAUCAGGAGGAACACCGGCGGCGAAGGUGGCUUCCUGGCCCAUUACUGACGUUCAGGUACGAAAGCGUGGGUAGCAAACAGG
rnacentral:rRNA from 1 species